UACAGAGGUGGCAAGCGUUGUUCGGAAUUACUGGGCGUAAAGGGCGCGUAGGCGGUUCGGUAAGUCCUGUGUGAAAUCCCUCGGCUCAACUGAGGAACUGCACGGGAGACUGCCGGGCUUGAGUUCGGGAGAGGGAAGCGGAAUUCCGGGUGUAGCGGUGAAAUGCGUAGAUAUCAGGAAGAACACCCGUGGCGAAAGCGGCUCUCUGGAACGGUACUGACGCUGAGACGCGAAAGCGUGGGGAGCGAACAGG
rnacentral:rRNA from 1 species